AAGAACCUACGGAGGGCAGCAGUGAGGAAUAUUGGUCAAUGGGCUUACGCCUGAACCAGCCAAGUCGCGUGAGGGAAGACUGCCCUAUGGGUUGUAAACCUCUUUUGUCAGGGAGCAACGCCGGCUACGUGUAGCCGGACUGAGAGUACCUGAAGAAAAAGCAUCGGCUAACUCCGUGCCAGCAGCCGCGGUAAUACGGAGGAUGCGAGCGUUAUCCGGAUUUAUUGGGUUUAAAGGGUGCGCAGGCGGUCUGUUAAGUCAGCGGGCAAAGCCCGGGGCCCAACCCCGGCCCG
rnacentral:rRNA from 1 species